rnacentral:rRNA from 1 species
GUGCCAGCCGCCGCGGUAACACGAACCGUACGAACGUUAUUCGGAAUUACUGGGCUUAAAGGGUUUGUAGGCGGCCAUGUAAGUCAGGUGUGAAAUCCCUCGGCUCAACCGAGGAACGGCGCUUGAUACUGCAUGGCUUGAGGGAGACAGGGGUAAGCGGAACUGAUGGUGGAGCGGUGAAAUGCGUUGAUAUCAUCAGGAACACCGGUGGCGAAAGCGGCUUACUGGGUCUCUUCUGACGCUGAGGAACGAAAGCUAGGGUAGCGAACGGGAUUAGAUACCCCAGUAGUCC